rnacentral:lncRNA from 1 species
CGGUGAGGUGGUCGAAGUCGGCGGCUUCCUGCGACGCCGACGGCCAGAAGUCGGAGGCGCAGAGGGCACGCUUGCUGCCGGUGGCCGCGCGGUGGGCUUCCCGCUGCGGGAUGAAGUCGGAAAUGAUCGCGCCGCCACACAUCUUUGCUGCUGCUGCGCGCUUGCGGUGCUCUAAGCUGACGAGUCGGUGGAAGGGCGCGUGUGCGUGCGGGAGAGUUGGGGCGUUUUGCUUGCAAAGCGAGCGAGCGCGUGGGCUUGGUUGAGGAGGGGGGAGCGGAGCCGUGGGCCGCGGCUGGUUUAUAUAGAAGAGCGUGGCGGCGCGGGGGGAGCGGACGUGUGUAAAAGGAGAGGGGAGAUCGAUGGUGUGAGAGUUUGUGGAGUGUGACGCGGUAGCUUCCUCGGACGACGGCCGAUCGAAUCGGUGGAUUUUGCGUUGGUUCCGUGGUCGACGCGAUGAAAUCCGGUGCGGUCGCUAUCGUCUCGGUAUUCGCUCAUCGCGCCGCGUGGGUGACUGGGUGACUGACCGACUCUUGAUCGCUCGGUGCCGCCGCUGCUUUCUUUCUGGCUGCUGAUGACCCAUACCAUACGUGCGUGCCCGUUUUACGGCUAGUGAAGAUGGUGACGGCGGCCGCUGCUCCAGUAUACCAUGCCAUAUUACCAUUGCCCUGCGGCGUGCUAUUGUAUUGUACGACGAACCACCUGAUCAACCGGCUAGUUGCACUGCUGUGCUGGAUAGAAUGAGCUGACUGAAACUUUUGGUGUGCGUUAGAAUUACAUUUAGGCUUUGUUUAGAUCUAAAAAAUUUUGGUCAAAAACAUCACAUCAAAUGUUUGGACACAUGUAUAGAGCAUUAAAUGUGGAAAAAAACCAUAUUACACAGUUUACAUGUAAAUUGCAAGACAAAUCUUUUUAGCCUAAUUACGCCAUGAUUUGACAAUGUGAUGCUACAGUAAACAUUUGCUAAUGAUGAAUUAAUUAGGCUUAAUAAAAUCGUCUCGCAGUUUAUAGGCGGAAUCUGUAAUUUGUUUUGUUAUUAGUUUACGUUUAAUACUUCAAAUGUUCAAAUGUGUGUACGUAUACUUAAAACUUUUUAAAAAAACUAAACACACCCUUAAUCCAAAUGGACAUGCUUGACGUACGAUCAGCGUUGGUAAAGGUGUAACUUUUAUUUUGUUUAUUUAGUAUAGGUGGUGAAAAUGAAAUAAAGCCAGAGGAUACGCGCGGACCAUGGUUUUGGACACGGGCGGCUGCCGGCUGCCUCUGUUUUCUGGAAGCAACUUGCGAAGCUGCAUGAUAGAGAUCAGAGUAUCUGCCCAUGUUAGUACUGUGGUGGAGUAGUAUGUGCUCAUAUAUGCUACAGUGUCCAGGGAGUGGCCUGCAUCUGCAUGAGUUAUGUUUGUGAAAGAAGAAUAGCACAAUGUUUUGAUAGGUUUCAACCUGGGCGUUCGGUUUAAACCCACAAUUCGGUUCGGUUUAUUCGGUUGCUAUAAAAUUCGGUUUACAGGCUUCACCACCCGAUCGGUUCUCCAAAAAACUGAAAACCGCAAAAUUCGGUUUCGGUUUUUUAAUUUUGGUUUUCGGUUUUAGCCGAAUUAACCAAAAGUUACUACCACCAGCCACAACAAUACAGAAUUACAUAAAAAUGAACACAAGCAACAUCAUAUAUGAUAUUAUAGAUAUAUCAAAUCCUUAAGCAAGCAAUAACCAGCAGCACAGCUGCAUAGAAUUACACAAAGUAGUCACACAGUACACAAAUCAACAUGUCUCAAGAGUACAGUUACAUAGAUUCAAGAGUUCUUCAUUAUUCAAAUAGAGAAAUAUAAAGUCCCAGGUAGCACCGUAGCAGGCACCCAACAGGCAACAACAGCAUUGCAUACACCAAACCAAGUGUCCAAGACUCCAAAUGAUCACUGAUCAGGACUGAAUUACUGAGUUGCAGCUGGAGUAUCUUCCUUGGAAAUAGAUAGGUCACCAAGUUCUAAAAUAAUAGAUGAUCUCAGUUAGAACAGUCAAUAGUGUAUGAAUCAUGAAGCACAUUAGAAUUUGGAAGGAAAUAAAAAUUUUCUAUGUUACCUUCCUCAAGCAAAGCCAUUUGUUCGCUGUCCUCUUCAACACUAACAUAGUUUCCUCCACGAAGCCAAUCAUUAGCACAAACAAGACGCUCAACCAUUCUUGGGGUUAGUGAGGUCCUAAAGUCAUCUAGAGUUCGCCCACCAGCACUGAAGGCUGAUUCAGAGGCAACUGAGGUGAUAGGAAUUGCCAAAAGAUCACGGGCCAAAUGAGAUAAUAUUGGGAAUCUUGUUGAAUUGGCCUUCCACCACUUUAGAAUGUCAAAUUUUGGUGUGUCCGGCUCAUUAUCUUCUGAUAGAUACUUGUCUACCUCAGAUUUGAUAGUUCCACUUCCACCCUCACUGUUAAGUUGCUGAGUAAUUACUGACAUCCACCUACAACUCACUCUUUUGCUGGUUUCAGCUGUAGAUUCAGAUUCAGUAGGUUGUGGUGCCUUAUCUUUUGGGGUAUACAUUUCCUUGUACUCUUCAAACAAAGCACGAAAAUAGGUAUUCACUGUUUCCCAUACUUUUUCUCCUACUGUAUCCCCAAACAUCACCUUAAUUCCCAUUCUAAUGCAAUUUGAUAGUUUGUAUCUAGGAUCAAUAGCAACACAGAAGAAGACAGUGAAGUUGAGUAGUUGAUCCCCCUUAUCUUUCUCUCCUCUCUUCUCUCUGUCCCCCUGCCUCUCACCAUACUUCUCUCCCCAAUACUUGUAGUACUUCAUUAGCAUUCUUGUACCCAUUUCCUUGCUCAACUUGUCUUCACUAUGAGACCAUUCUCUCAACAGAAGUAAUACAUCAGCAAUCUCAUGGAAAUAAGUGUGAGAUGUUGUACGACUUUGUACAGAAACACGGAGAGUGAGGUCAUAAAAGUGUUCAAGAAAAUCAGUCAUCUUCCUAGCCUUCUCCCAAUCUGCUCUUGUUGGUACCCCUGGACCAUUCUCUCCUUCUAAUUCUAAUUUGUAGUAUGGGUCUUCAUCACUAUAUCUUUCAAAUGCUUUUUGGUACUUCUCUGCAGCAUUUAACAUAAGAUAGGUUGAGUUCCAUCUAGUGCAAAUAUCUAAGUUUAGAAAUGCUUUGCUCUGUACCUUGGCUAACUCAGCACAUUUCUUAAAUUUUACCAACCUAGAUGUUCCACAUCUGAUAAACUUAACAGCAGCACGGACACGUUGAAUUGAUGUACCAAUUUCCUUCAAGCCAUCACCUACUAUUAGGUUGAUAAUAUGAGCAGCACAGCGCAUAUGAAUGUACUCUCCUUCAGCAACACAACCUUUUGACUCAUUCAAGACCCUUCUCAUAUACUUAAUUGCAUUAUUGUUUGCACUAGCAUUGUCUACUGUUAUUGUAAAAACCUUGUCAAUGCCCCACUCAGCCAAGCAGUUCUCUAAUGAUUUUCUAAUGUCCUCCCCUCUAUGUCCCUUAACCAAAAAAAAAACCAAUAAUUUUCUUCUGUAGGUUCCACUCAUUGUCAAUGAAAUGGGCUGUAACACACAUGAAGUUUUGGCUGUUCUUAGCAGUCCAUGUAUCAGUUGUGAGGCAAACUCUUACACAAUUGUCCUUAAAAAAUUUCUUAAGCUUUUCUUUCUCAUCUUCAUAUACUUUAACACAAGCUCUAGUGAUUGUUCUUCUAGAUGGCAGAACAAAUCGUGGACAUGCUAAAGUCAUAAAUUUCCUAAGACCAGAACGCUCAGAUAGGACAAAUGGUUGUUCAUCUUCAAUUAUCAUCUCAGCAAAACACCUUCUAAGUUUAUCUGGAUCAAAUUUCCAAGUGGUCACAGUACCAAGAGUACUAUUGUCAUCACAUGGUGUCAGUUGCAAAGUUCCUUGAUUAUCAACUACUGGUUUGUUAGGAUUCUUUUUGCAAAUCUUCAGAUGAGCUUUCAAGGAUGACGUACCAUUUGUUCUUGAGCCGCAAUGAAAUAGCUUGGUACACCACUUGCACUUGGCCCUCUCGUCCCCAUUAGCAAGUUUGACCUUGCUGAAACUUUCCCAUACAUCAGAUCUUAGAGCCAUUGGUUUUCUUUUUCUGGAUUCUUCAUCAGCUUUCUCUCUAUCCUUGGACUGCUGCUCCUCCUCCUUGUCCUCGCUUGCAUCUACCACUCCAGUAGUUGACACUCCGGUUUCAGUGUCUUGAGAUUGAGUGUGAUUAAUCUCACAAGCAACAGUUUCAUCUGUGUCCCCCAUCUAGAUCAAAUGUUUCAAAUCACUAAAUCAGAACUUACCAACAUAGAACAGCAAUACAACACUCAUUCACUCAACAUGGACUCAACUAGAACAAACGAACAAGAAGUGAAGAACUUACAUAGGAGGACUGCUCGGUCCGCGCCGCCGUUGUCUUGGUCGGAGAACUCCACGAGGGUGUUGCCGGCCCGCCGCCAGCAGCCCGUUUGCCGGCCGCCGAGUUAGGGUUUGGGUCUUUGGGCGCAGGGGGCGGUGUGCUCGCGGGCGGCUCGCCGGGGCCUACAGCUGCUGCUCAGGGGAGGGGAGUGUGGCGCUGCGGCCGUGCGGCGUGCCGCCUCGAGCCCGCGAUGGCGAGGUAGGGCAGCGGCAGCGCUGCGGCGGCACCCUGCGCGGCUGGCGGCCGGGCUAGCGGCUGCGCCGAGUGACGAGUCGGGGGCGUGACGACUGACGAGUCGGGGGCGUGGCGUAGGGUUGGCCUUGCCCUUGAUGGCCUGAUGGGCUGCGAACUGGUGGGCCGUGGGCUGCGCCGCCGCGGGAUAUGUCGGUUUAAUCGGUUGUUCGGUUCGGUUUCUCUAUAAAACCGCCGCCGCGGGAUAUGUCGGUUUAAUCGGUUGUUCGGUUCGGUUUCUCUAUAAAACCGAAGCCGAAGCCGUACACCGAAUAGCACAAAAACAGAAACCGAACUGACAACCGAAAACCGAAAAAAAUGCGGUUCGGUGCGGUUCGGUUCGGUUUGCGGUUUGCGGCUAAAAAAUGCCCAGGCUGAGAUAGGUUUCCCUUUCACCUUAAAGGUGCAGCGCUAUUAACUCUUCACGACCACACACUUAAGGUCUGUAUAUAUACUUUACUAGUAGUAUUUUUUUUAUAAGGCAGCCCAUGGAAAUUACUCCAUAUUACUACCUCCACCUCAGUACAAUCUUUACUUACACGUGAGAGAUAGAGCCAAAAUAAAUUAUGGUAGGUACUAGGUUAUAGUUGAAAAGGACGCUGGCUGAAACGAAAGAUAAGGCUACAUUCACCUUUAAUAAGGCUUUAAAAUGGCCAAGUCUAGACAACUUGCAGGUUGAGGUAGUAGCUUCAUUGAACUGCACAGGACCUGAGGACCAAACCAUGGUCUUCUAUAGACUGUUUGGCUUGGCUGUGUAUAUCCCGGUCAUUGUCAUCCCCAUCCACUUUUUGCCCUAACGUUAGCAAUUAUCAGAACUUAGUGGAGGAGUACUAUAAUAACCUAACUUCUUCCCAAUUUGACAGAAACAAUAUAUUUACUCGGGAACAAACAUGAUAUUGACAACAAACGGAGUAGUUAUAUAUAGCACAUCGGCCGCAGUAACAUAAGAUUAAUGAGCUAAAUUCAGUACUAUGUACUAUAGCUAGCAACUGAGAGUUAGCAAGCAUGCUCAGCUACGUACGGGUCACUGAAUAAAAUGGAACUGAAUAAUCCAAAAUACGAAAGAAUACCGGGAGUCCAUCUGAUAUCACUGCCAAAACCGAAGUGGUCAGCUCACGAAAGAAACACGAACGCCCACCGAAAUGCAACGUUCAACUCAUUGAACCUUUUUUGGCCCAUAGGAUGGCUUCAUUCAGCCGUGGGUUUCAUGCAAGUGUCUACCCUCUACUGCAUGGUAUAUGUAAGGUGAUCGGUAUGGGCCCUGCAAAAUGUAUUUAAUAUCAGGUUAGAGAUAUAAUAAUCAGUGACGGAGUCAGAAAAUUUUCAUGCCGGCUUAGGGCUGAGCUAAUGGGAUCUCAAAUAUUUUCAUAAAUUACAUACUAUUUUUCAAGAUUAUAAUGGGUAUUAUGGAGCUAGGCAUGGGGCUCAAGCCCUAGCUGCCCCAUGUCUGAUUCCGCCCUUGAUAACAAUUUCAUCACAUUUUCUGACAUUUAUUCUCGUAGAUAAUGCAAAAUUCAGAAAUUUUUUUCCUACAGGCAAAGUUUAGCUCGAAUAAAAACACUACUUAAACACCCAUAUAUUCCCACCAUCCUGUAUCAGCAUCUACUACAAAAUUCAUUCAGAAUCUAAUUACGUUUGAUUUCCUUGUAAGCAAACCACAAUGCCACGCGUCCAGCAGUCCUCGCUGAUUGCAUGAAACUCUCCACUUGCAAAGGCACCCCUACAAGUACAAUAUUCAUCAUUACUUAGUAGGGGUAUUAGAUGGCCGUCUGAUUUGCAAAUUCUGUGGACUCUGUGCGACUUUUGACUUCGUUUGACGAUAAGGCUGUCAUGGCAUACUAAAAUGCUAGUUCCAACAAAUGUCUUUCGAGAAAUAUGCUCUUUUUCAGUAAACAAACACUAUUUCUUAUUAUAAUCUUAAGAAGUUAAGAUGGCCUUGAAGUAAAAUACUGUGUCAAACGAACGGCGGACUCCCAUAGAAAAAGAACAGUGUUUUCAUAAUUAGCUAUUGCCAACACCAUCAUGAGCCAAAAGGGAGGGAAGAUAUCAGACGCAAGGAAAGAAUCAAUACUAUCUCUGCCUCCUUGUGAAAGUGUCACCUUUCAGACCAACGUAAGUAAAUUACAGCAAAGCCUCCAGAGAGAUCAGCAACUCCAAUUAUAUCUCCAAGAUGAUAAAAAACCGCUCUCCUUGUGGUUGACACACGCCCAGUUCCUACCCGAUUCAGCCCAAAGGAAUGCAUAACUGAAAACGAUGGCAGUAUGGUAUGGUUGAAAAUUGCUGAUAAAAACACAAAUAUGACUAUUUGACAGGAAAAGGACGACCCUGACAGAAGGUAAGCAGCUGUAAUCAUCCCAUCAGCCCAUGGCAGCAAUUUAUAACAUGUGAAAAUCUGGGGCUUAAAAAACAGAGAAAAUGGAUUUCAUAUAUAGGGAAUAGUACGGAAAGCACACCAGCUUGGUCAAUUUCGCAGGCAGAUUUGAAUCAAAUGGGCCAAAAUCCACCUACAGUCAAUAUAUUGCUUCCAGCUAUACAUAUAGUAUUUGUGUUCAACGAACUGGUACCAACCAACAUUUCACCAACUACAGUAUCUGUAGACCAUAAAAUUCCAGAAAUGCAGGCUGGGUAAGCGCCACCGCAGGUCAGACUUGUAGUUGAUUACCCGAAACCAUUGCAGUAUGCACAAAAACGUGUGCAUAUGUGAAAUAGCCAUUUUUACUCAACGGUCGCCACCAUUGCCGUCUAGAGAGAUACUCACGGCAACUGGAGCUCACCUCUUUUCCUUUUAACGAACUGACACUACUAGUUUUAGUUUCAUUUUGAAUAUAGCAGGAAUAAAAGAAGUUGUAUAAGUGUGAAGAACAGUACAAAGAAAAAUAAAGUUCAGUAAAGCUAAAGAAUAAGCUCUGAGAGUUGUUUUUGCUCCUGCUAGGCUUAGGUUUCGGCAUCCUCUUUAAUUUUUGCCAAUAAGUUUAGCCUCUCUGAUUGUUUUCCUACCAAAUUUCCCUUGUCUUUAGUAGGAUUAAUAGGGUGCGGACUCCUUUUUCCAGUAGCUCCUUACUAGUGGCCAGUACCAUUCACCAGUCACCACUCAUGGACUGUCGUAGUUGUGCUACAUAUUGUUGAUUUGUUCUCCUAGAAUAAGGUCCAUGUUGAUAGUAUAUCUCAUAUUCUCUUCGUGUAUCCGCAUUUCAUUUGGAGGUGGAAAGAUGUCUUUGGGGUGUGCUGGCAUAGUGAGCAAAAGAUAUUUGUUGGGACAAAAUCCAACUAGUGUAUUCAAUGUGAAUUCUGCCCUCAAUCGUGAGCAGUGUUUAUAUAUUUAUACCGGGAUAUACAAGAGGAAAUUACAUUUUUGCCCCUAUCCUAUAGGCUAAUCUAGAGUGGCUGGCUGGUGGGCCAGCCCUCGGGCUCCUAGUAAAAUCACCCGUGACAAGGACGGCUGCGCCUAUUAGGGAAUCGGCGGCGCCCCCGAGGAUACUAGCCACUGCCUGGGUAAAGCCGCGCUUCCCGGGUAGUGGCCUGUGCAGGCCCGUCCCUGUCGAGACGCCAGAGGUGGUUGGCGGAUACGUAGUGCGUAUUUAUUGCCCCCCAUCACGCCUUUAGGGGUCCACCGUGGCUUCUAGCUUAAGGCCUUCUCAGUCCUUCGUAAUCCUAACCAACUCCGGAGAUCCGUUAGCAGCCGGAGGUCGAUUGGCCCCCAGAGGCCCGAUGUCAUUGGAGGCUUGUUGGGUUCCGGCGAUUCGGUGGCCUCCAGAGACUCCAUGGGGCUCCGGCGAUCAGGUGGCCUCCAGGGGGGCUCCACGGGGCUUCGGCAGUCGGGUGAUCUCCGGAGGCUCCGCGGGCCUCCGACGGCCUGAUACCCUCCAGAGUUAUAACGGCCUCUCGAGGCUCGAUUGACUUGGGGCUCUUGAACGCUUAGUCGCUUUCCCAGGGCGGGUAGCUCCGGGACGGAGGCUGCCUGACGGAGACUAGCUCCGUAAUUCCGGAGCCACUCCUCAACAAUAUUGUUUAGCCAACCACGAUUGCUAGUCUGUCAAAUAACCACACUCUGUUGUACACAAUUAGCCAAGAGAGGAUCUUGUAUUUCUUCGACGUCCAUGGCUUUCAUAUGAUCAUCUCAUAGUUCGUGUUAACGGAGCCAAAAAAAAAACUACAAUUUGUAAGCGAAUCCUACCGUGUACUAUAUGUGCAUGCCUUGUGUAUUGUUACAUAGGAUAACCAAUUGAUCUAGGAGCUAGACAGUUAUACCCUUGUUAGGUGAGAGGUUGAGGUCUUGUAUCCACAUUUUCAUGUUCAAUGUCUUACUUUAAAGUUCUAUUUUUUUUCUAGAGAUUGCACAAACUCUUGGUGCAAUAUCCUUUGGCCGUCUAUACCAUGCAUUCAGGUCGAGUUCCAAAAAUCGACAGUGGAACUGGAGCUCACCUCUAACAAUGGUAGGCUGUCAUGAAAGCUUGCCAUCAUUGAAGCUUUCUUUUGUUUUCAUUUUCUGCAUAAUACUAUCUCACAUUCUCAUUAGUUAACCAGAUUAUCUGGUUCCAGCAUUUUGUCCCCCUGUUGCUACUUGUGGUACCUUAGAAGAAUAUAGAUAAUCUGCUUGGGCCUUGAACUACCGGGCUAUACUCAGGAAAUGGGCCGGCCACCUACUACAAGCCACUGAUCUCCCCCCUUUUAUUUGUUCUACGUAGCCACAUGACAUCCUUCUUCUGUAGCCAUCUAGUAGCCACAAUUCAGGCUUAGAACAAGUGAUCGUAUUAAGUAUAUACGAAAUUGACCUGUAGCAUGUAUUCGAUGUUUUUCUCCAACUGAAUGCAGUGUCAUUGCUCAGCACGACAUAGAACAAAUUCAUGUCCUGCUUGUGUUCUGCAAUCAACCAACAAGUUAAAUUUUAAAAGUAUAAUUAUAGUAUUAAACUGUUAAAUGUUAAUGUUGCCACUGUGUACCUGGACAGGUAAUUAAACUGCAUGCGCUUUGAAUUUGUCAGUUCGUUUUAUUGAUCCGAAGUAAACCAUAUAUUAAAACAAAACAGAUGUCUGAAUUUGUUAGACAUGGAACAAAGCUGCAGGUAUAGUGAGUGAUGCGAUUGCUAACCUCCUUCAGAGUUCAGACGUAUCUGAAAUUCUGAAUUUACCUUGUAAGUUACGAUGUUUCACUAGCAGCUCCAUCUCGAAAUGUUCUAGUAACUCUGAAUUAACAAAGGGCGCUAAUUGACACUGGAAACUCCACUAUGAUCGUAGAAAUCCAAAUCUAGAAUGGGCAAAAGUGGUACGGUACAAGCAUUGCCGGCCUCGACGACCUCGGUUAGUACGAUCAGCAGUCUUGAUCAACGGCUAAGAUUCUUCCUCGUAGAUCUGACGACAAAACGGUGAUCAUUUUUCAAACAAGUCCCUUGUUUGGAUCGCUACGAACCUACGACUACGGAUCAGACCGAUCCGGAAUUUUGCAGACAAACACCGUGUUUAUUUCCAAAGUUUUUUUUUUCAAACUUCCAAGUUUUUCAUCACAUCAAAAUUUUUCUACAUACACAAACUUCCAACUUUUCCGUCACAUCGUUCCAAUUUCAACCAAACUUCCAAUUUUAACGUCUACCAAAUCUAAAUUGUCUGUUCAGGCUGUAGCUAAAAUAAACCUUACCAAAUUUUGACUAUUUAACAAUAUUAUCAAGUUUUGGUAGAACUUUUUAUGUAUUUACUAGAAUUUGGUAAAAAAUUAAAUAGAUGCACAUAUUUGACAACUUAAAUAUGAACAACCCAAAUUAGAUUGAGGAAUCAGAAUAUUAUAAUAGAGUAAGUAUAAAAUCCAAUAGUAAAAAAAUGCUCUUUAUAAUGCAGUGGUAAGAGGUGUGUGAUUUUAACUCUUAAGUCCCGUGUUCAAUCCAUCUCGAAAAAAAUCUAAUAGUAAACAACGAUGAAAUUUAUAUAUGUCAGUCUUAAACUAAUCUAAACAUAUUCAUUUUAAAAAUAUAUUUGUAGUGACGUCUCUCUUCAAAUCACGAAAAGAUCUAGUAUACUAGUAAAUAACGAUGAAGUUUAUAUAUGUGAACUAAUCUAAACUUUGGAUUCCGAGGCCUCUUUAUUUAGAGUUAGGUUUGUUGGCUUGGACUUUCAAACAGUUUAUUGGUUUAUAUGAUUUAUAAGCUGGUGAUUUAAUAUUCUAAAUUUAGUGGUGGAGUCAUACGUGUAGCUCACAUAAACAAAAAAAAAAACUUCUCCAACCUAGUUUUUGGCUUAAUAGUAUUAGAGUGGCUUAUAGUUUUAAAAAAGCUAACUUAUUUAUUUAGGUUUAGAUUUUUCGACUUAUAGGUUAGUUUAUAACUCUGAGUGUGUGGCGCUGUAUUCUGUGGAGUCGUAUCCCAAGCCAAUUUUAUUUGCCAAACAAAACAUAUCCGGCACGGCAGCGCCUGAUCCAAACUUGCUAGGGUCGCUGUCAGGCGUGACAAACUGAGCAGUACUCCCCUUCCUUGAUUCUGGACAAGAUAUCCGCGACGACCAGUAGUGGCAUCGGCGCAUCGCCUCCUCCCCUUCCUUCUCUUCUCUCUCCUAGUCGUCGCCGGCGGGGAGCGAGCGAUGCUGACCUCGGGGCUGCUGCGGCCGGUCGACGAUGCGCACGCGAUCGACGAGGCGGCGCUGCUGCGCUACGCGGCGGAGCACGUCGCCGGGUUCCCCUCCCCGGCGCGGGGGCUGGCCCUGACGCAGUUCGGCCACGGCCAGUCCAACCCCACCUACUGCAUCGAGGCCUCCGCCCCCGGCGGGGUCACCGCGCGCUACGUGCUGCGGAAGAAGCCGCCCGGCGCCAUCCUCCAGUCCGCCCACGCCGUCGAGCGCGAGUUCCAGGUCGGGGUUUCGUUUCUCUGUCCCCCUCUUCUCGCUUCGAUUUGCAGCGUCCCGUGAUCGAUUUAGCUCCACUUUGUCCGAUGGUAUGAUGGGUACUGGUGAUCGAUUGAAAGCUCCAGUUUCUCCGAUAGUAUGAUGGAUGCCGAUCUGAUAUGAUUGGUAGGUAAGGGCGGGCUUGUUUGCUCGAGUCAAAGUGCGAAAGCACUAACGAAAGUGGAAUCAGCAUUUCCUGGUGAAAAGGCUCAAAAAGUCAGGAGUCAUGCGUCCAGAUUUCUGAGUUCCAUUUGAUGAUAGUGAUGCAAAUUACUCUGGAAUUAUCAUGUCGAACUUAUUUCACUGAUUGAACUACGUAAAUCCAGCUGAUUAGUGAAAAGUGUACAUGUAAAGUGCAUAUGCUACUGGCUAGGUAGUUUUUUUUUCCUGUUUAGUACUAAGAGAAAUACGAAACUGACGAGCGAAUGAGCGCUAUGAGCUAAUUCCUUGAGUUGUGUUUGAAUUGGAGCAGGUCCUCAAAGCUUUGGGCACUUACACUGAUGUUCCUGUCCCUAAGGUGUUCUGUCUUUGCACUGAUGCAAGUGUAAUUGGAACUCCUUUCUAUAUAAUGGAGCAUCUAGAAGGACUAAUAUACCCAGACAACAAGUUGACGGUACGCUUCUUGUGAGCAUUCUUUGUCUUGCAUAUUCUUCAGACUGUUGGUAUAUGCAUUACUUACUGGGUGAUGAUUUAGUAUGAAAUCUGUACAUUUUUACCUAUCAGGUAGGCGUAUUUCUAGGUCAUGAGGUUCCAUGUAGCAAAUACCGGGCAUUUAUUCUUCUAUGUGCGUAAGGAACACACCAAAUGAAACCUAGUAUUGGAGUUGAUUAAGAAGUUGCUACCUUGCCGUUGGACAGCAUCUAUGCGACCCUGAUUAAACACUAAAAUUAUAGAAGGCAAUAACAUAGCAAUUUUUCAAAUCUUUCCUCCUUACACCAUUACAGUUGAUGUAGCAGCUGAUAUGAGAAAUCUCACCAUCCAAUGACGGGUUUAUAUAUGCUCCUUGAAAUGUAUUCCUUGAACUGAUAAUGAUUGUCUUCAUGAUGAUUUAGUAAAAAGAAUUUCUGUGCCCUUUGUUUAUGCAGGGAGUAACUCCAACUAAAAGAAAGACUAUAUAUCUUGCAGCUGCUGAAACUUUGGCUGCUAUACACAAAGUUGACGUGACUGCAAUUGGACUGCAGAAGUAUGGGAGAAGAGAUAACUAUUGCAAAAGACAAGUAGGUGAUACCAUGUUUCAUGGUAUUUACCUUAUAUUUGAUUACGCUUAUCUCAAUCUCUCUGAUUCUGAUUGCUUUGUAAAAACAAAACAAAACUCCAUUCAUUUCUGUUGUCAUUGAGUUGCAUAAUAUAGUUUUUUGGGCAUCGGUACAGUUAACAGCUGAGCUGAAUGUAACUCUAGAAUCUUCUCUCCCCAUUUUUUUUGUUUAUUUUAACUGGGGUCAGGCCAUAGCUCCUAGGCCAAGGAAAGGAAUUGGAUACUCCUAGGUGGUGUAUCAGUAGUAUACUAAUAUUCUUAAUCUAUAAGUGAAAUAUGCAUAUAGACAUGUAGUUUCUCGUGAGUUUUGAGUAUCACUUGCUUAUGUGAGUACAGCAAUGGAUUGCCUGUUCCCAGCUGUUACAACCUAUGAUUUGAUCACUUUAAGUUCAAGAGGAGAGUUUUAGUUGUCAUGUUGUGAUUUGUGAAUGAUGAUUGCUGUGAUAAUCCAUUUGCAUCUGAAGAUAGUUAACCUAUUCUGGUUUAGGUAGAAAGAUGGGGGAGGCAAUAUCUCUCUUCCACUGGUGAAGGGAAGCCUGCUCGUUACCAGAAGAUGCUUGAUCUAGCUCAUUGGUUGAAAGAACAUAUACCAAAAGAAGAUUCAUCGGCAGGAUUUGGAACAGGUCUUGUUCAUGGUGAUUACCGUGUUGAUAAUCUUGUUUUUCAUCCAACAGAGGUUUGCAUCUUUUUUGGCAUCAUAAGUAUUUAUGCAUUUCAUCAAAAACAAGUAUUUAUGCAAUCUUCUAAUGCAUCACGGGCAUAUUACUAGUUGUUUAAGUUCUUCAACAUACCACUUCUCAUGCAGGACCGAGUUAUUGGUGUACUUGAUUGGGAACUAUCUACUUUGGGUAAUCAAAUGUGUGAUGUUGCAUACAGCUCUUUGGUAUGAAGCACUUUAUAUUUUUAAAAUAUUGUUAUGCAUCCUUUUUAUGUUGUGUUUUUGUGCUGUUAUUAGACAGUCUUAACUCUUGAAAGAAACAUUAAGGAAUGAUAUGUCUUAACUGAAUUUAGUUAUAUAGUAUAUAUAAAUGAGGAGUAUACAUAGUAAUUUCUUUUAGUCACUCUAAUACUUUGAUAGCAUUUGUAUUUAAUUCCAGAGAUCUUGACAUUUUUUCUGGCCAUAGUUGGUAACAACCAGAGAAAUAUGUGCAUACAUACCCCAAUUAGAAACAAAGCUGGCAUGCAUAUUAAUUUUUCAAUUGAUUUAGUGUAAUAUUUCUUGCAUGAUAGACUUACAUUUGAUAUGGAAUCAGCUUGCAGCAUGUCAAUAUGUUUACAAAGCAACUAUAUCUGCUAGCACUGAGUACAUAUCUUUGGAAUUUUGGAUUUGCUAUUAUCUCAACAUGCUAUAUUUGCUACUCCACUAUCAAUGUCCCUACUUUCUAACCACACCUUGUACCAAUAACUAAUCAAUUAUGUCUGAUAGCACUUAAAUUGAUUCGUAGUACUAGGAUGUGUCCCAUCCAUCCAAAAUCCCUUAUAUUUUGGGACGGACGGAGUAUGUUUUACUAUGUGUUCAAUGGUAUUAUUAAUCACUUUGAUCUUGAUUAUUAUGAUUUGUACGUGCAGCCGUAUAUUAUUGAUGCAACAACUAGUACAGGUUAUUCUUAUGGUGGAUUUGAAUAUACUGGCAUUCCAGAUGGCAUUCCCCCACUGGAAGAGUACCUCGCUGCAUACUGCUCUAUCUCUGUAAGAAUCACGUCUCCUACAUCUUGGUCUACAAGUUAUUCUUAUGGUGGAGUUGAACAACAUCUUGAUACUGGCUGAAUAUAUACACCAAACUUAUUGCUUCUUUAUUCCUCAUUAAUCAUUAUAUUCUUUAAAAUUGUUUCUCAGGCAAGACCCUGGCCGGCUGCAAGUUGGAAGUUUUAUGUUGCCUUUUCGCUUUUUCGAGGGGCAUCUAUAUAUGCAGGAGUAUAUCACAGAUGGACUAUGGUACUUAUCUGUAACCCUUGAAAUCUAAUUCUGCUUAUAUAUUCUAAUUUAUUUGAGCUGUCACACAGGGUAAUGCUUCAGGUGGUGAGCGUGCUAGAUUUUCUGGCAAGAUUGCUAAUGCUAUGGUUGACCGUGCCUGGGAUAUCAUAAAUAGAGAAAAUGUCCUGAGAGAACAGCCUGCUAGGGGUAAUUAUAUUUUAUAAUCUCUCCACAGUCCAUACCAUAUGGUUGGCGAGUGCAAAUGCUGCUUAUUUUUUUCUUAAAUUUCUAUGGUUAUUUCGUAAUAAUAGUGUUGGCAAAGACAUGAAAAAUGUGGUUAUAUUUCUUUAUUCUUUCCAAGUCUAAUAAAAAAAAUUAACUUCUUUACUUUUAAUAUCAGGUAUGCAUGCCUCAAAUGGCCCAUCGCAAGAAUUCCAAAGAAAGCAUGAAGGAUCAAUUUCGACAAAAGAUCAAGGAAAAUUUGUUCCUAGUGAAAAGGUUAUGCAGCUUCGAAACAAAUUGAUGAAGUUUAUGGAAGAUUACAUAUACCCGAUGGAGAGUGAGUUCUAUAAACGCGCACAUUCGACCUCAAGGUGGACAAUUCAUCCAGAAGAAGAAAAACUAAAAGCCUUAGCAAAGAGAGAGGGACUAUGGAACUUGUUUAUUCCGGUAACUUUCCCUUUUUUUAUAUUAAAACCUUAAGGCCCUUCAUUUUUUUCCUGAUACAUUGAUUCAUCACACAUAUUUGUCGUGUUAGUACUGUAGACUGCAUUUAUUUUGGACUUUCUUCUUCUAAUCAAAAUGUUUGAUCUGCAGCUAGACAGUGCUGCUAGAGCAAGAGAGCUUCUGUUUGAGGACAUGUCUCAUGGUUCUCCUGGAAGUUCUGAGGAGCUUUUGCUAGGUGCAGGUCUCACAAAUCUUGAAUAUGGAUAUCUAUGUGAGAUUAUGGGCCGUUCAAUUUGGGCUCCACAAAUAUUUAACUGUGGUCCACCUGAUACAGGCAACAUGGAGGUAAGAUACAAAUUAUCAUAUUUUUUUAUAAGAAAGACUUUAAAAUACAUUCAAGUAUCUUGUUAAUAGAGCAUAUGUUGAGGAGCAACACUCCAUAUCUCCACCUUGUUAUAGGUCCUGUUGAGAUAUGGGACUAAGGAGCAACAAAAGCAGUGGCUUGUUCCUUUGUUGGAAGGGAAAAUUCGUUCUGGAUUUGCAAUGACAGAACCACAAGUUGCAUCUUCAGAUGCAACAAACAUCGAGUGUUCAAUAUCAAGGUGAGAAAAAAGGGAAAUAUUUGCAUGCAUUUUGUUGCCAGUCCUUGAGGCUGUUGUUCUUUAAUUACAAGUUAUUAUCUACUUUAAGGGCUAACAGACCUAAUUCAGUGUUUAUUCGGGAAACUAAUGAUACUGUACUUCUUACCACUAUCUUGGACAUUGUGUAGUUUAAGCUGUUUACGUUGUGCUUACUCGCAAGUUAUUUGCUCUUGACAGGCAAGGAGAUUUCUAUGUGAUAAAUGGAACGAAAUGGUGGACCAGUGGGGCUAUGGAUCCAAGGUGCCAAAUUCUUGUAUUAAUGGUAAUUGCAACAUUUAUCAAUGAAUGCAUGCUGUCAAUAGUUCAAUUUUUUUAUUUUAAUAUUAAAGCUGUUUGUUUCUCUAUAUACAGGGGAAGACAGAUUUUUCUGCACCUAAACAUAAACAGCAAUCGAUGAUUUUAGUUGAUGUCAAAACACCUGGAGUGCAGAUAAGGAGACCGUUGUUAGUAUUUGGUUUCGAUGAUGCACCUCAUGGGCAUGCAGAGAUUACUUUUGAGAAUGUGCGCGUUCCAGCCACAAAUAUUCUCCUUGGGGAAGGCCGGGGUUUUGAGAUUGCUCAGGUAAGCCGUAUUCUGCAUCUUGUACCAAUUAUGCUACUGUAAUAUGUGCUCUCCACAUCAUAUUUAAGAUGCUUUGCAGGGAAGACUAGGCCCUGGAAGAUUACAUCAUUGCAUGAGACUAAUAGGGGCAGCAGAACGUGGCAUGAAUUUGAUGGUCGAGAGGGCCUUAAGUAGGACCACUUUUGGAAAAAAGAUUGCGCAACAUGGUUCCUUUUUAGCAGAUCUGGCGAAGGUAUGACCUGUUUAUCUGCUUAACCAUGGUCUUUUAUGAAGUUCCAUCAUUUUUUCUAUUGCUCAGUUCAGGAGUGUCCUAAAAUAUUUUUAGUGCAUUUUCCUGUUGUGUUCUGUUAUUUGCAUUCCUUGACAUGUACGUGGAAUCCAGUGCCGGGUAGAACUGGAGCAGGCUAGACUUCUGGUGCUUGAAGCAGCCGAUCAACUUGACCGACAUGGGAACAAGAAAGCUCGUGGUAUCCUUGCAAUGGCCAAGGUGAGUCAAGGAUCAGCACCUUCUUUCUAAUCGUUUCUAGCAAGAACAGAAGUUCAGUGAAAUAUGGCCUCAUGUAGGUGGCAGCUCCAAAUAUGGCCCUGAAAGUGCUUGACAUGGCAAUGCAAGUUCAUGGUGGUGCUGGUCUCUCAUCAGACACAGUUCUAUCACAUCUAUGGGCAACUGCUAGGACACUGAGGAUCGCCGACGGCCCUGAUGAAGUUCAUCUUGGGACAAUCGCUAAGCUGGAGCUGCAAAGAGCAAGGAUGUAGUCUCGCGUCAUCAGGAUGCCGCCCAGAUUUCAUGAAUAAUAAAUACUAGGGGAGAGGGAAAUCGUUGUGUAACAUGUCCCCGUUUUUAUUGAACGAAAUUGGAAAUGACACUACGAUAGUUGUCACUUGUAUAGAAUGGUUGAUAUGUGGCGUGAAAUUUGUGGAUGUUGUACUGCGGGUAUUACUUCAACUGUUAGCUAUUGCACUGUCAUCUGUCCAUAAUUCGACACCAACAAACAACCGUACCUUGUUGUACAGCAGAGACGAAUAAGAGCUCAGAAGCAAUGAACCUAUCCCCUUCCAAUGAUUAGCCUUCGGCCAUUGUAGGCUUCAACCCUCGUAACAAAACACUUGGUGGUGAUGGCCUGGUGGUAGCUCCAGGUUUACUACAAAUUAUCUUAAACCUGUGAUGAGCUACUCUUAUUCCAAAAAGGACCAAAACCAGUAUAAGACCCAAAAAUCCCCAUCUCCAGAGACUGUCCAGAAGCCACCACUUUCAGCUCAACCCCAAGAUGUAGGGGAACGAGCUGGAGUUGAGCCAGAGGUCACCCUGCACGAAGUUGAGCACGGUGAAGUUGGCCGCGUCGGUGGCGUUGGUGAGCACGUGGUACCCCGGCCACGACACCCUCGCCGACGUGUCGGCGCCGUCGCCGCGGUUCAUGUACUCGGCGUAGUAGAGCGUGUCGAGCGCGAAGCUGCCGUUCCACUCGAGCCACCCCCUGGGGUGUAUCAGGCUGUCGAUCUUGGACUGCAGGAACACCGUGCGCGAGUAGGUCUUCCACGGGCGGCCGAGGUAGGAGGAGAAGUUGGCCUGGACGGGGACGAGGUCGGCGGCGGCGGCGACCUUGCAGCCCUGGAUGGCGAUGCCGGUGUUCUGGUUGGGGUCCUCCCGGCCCUGCGCCGUGAACACAUUCUUCUGGUUGGGGUCCGGGCGGCGCGCGUAGAGGUUGCAGUUCUGGAGCACGACGGCGGCGUCGCCGAAGAUGAAGUCCACCGUGCCGUAGAUGUCGCAGUCGCGGUAGAACUGGCGAAGCGAGUGCGCGUACAGCGUGUCCUGGUAGCCCGCGAAGCUGCACCGGUAGAACGCCGACAGGUCGGCGUUCACCCGCAGCGCCACCGCCUGGUGCUUGCUCGGCCCCGCCGCGUUCUCCACCGUUAUGUCCCGCGCCAGAAACCCCGUGCCCACCACGGCUGCAACAACCACACCACAAUUUUUUUCACACUGUCAGUUUAUUACACACGACGCUCCACAGCUCACGUGAGCACGCAUGAUCGAUGCAACGUUGAUAUCGCGAUGUGGUACUACAUGUCCUAUGGCCUAGCAACAGCAGCCGAGAGACGACACAGACAACUGCAUUCAUAGUGCGGACGUUCGUACGUGGGCGAUCCGGCGAUGAUGAGUAGUAGUACUACUAUUGCUACUACGUGCAAACAUUGGCCAUGGCACCGACGAAACGCAUUAACCUCCACCGACACACGACAGUGGCGUGUCAACCACAUCCCGUCUCGCUGAGCCGGAGUUAAGGCCACGAUGCUCUCCCGCUGCGGGGAGCGUCGCCUCAGCCGCUACUGCAGUAAUGCAGUUACGAGCCAUAUCGAUCUGUUCUUAAAAAAAGAGCCAUAUCGAUCGGUUUCAAAAAAAAUUUGUUAAGCUCCCAUGGUUUGUACCGUGCGCGUGUUCAUGUCGAGCAACCAGCAGGCAAAGCCACGCGAAUUGGUACGGCGUCUAGUGUCACUUUGCUGUUGGUACUUAGCUAAUGUGGCAUCUUGGUCAUAACCAAUAAGCCUCAAAGAUCAGAUUCACCUCCAACGAACACGAUCAUGGCUGGUCAAUUUCUACUCCAUUGCCACUGGAUUGUGAGUGCUAUAACUGAUUGUUGGUAUGAAUGUGUGAUAUGCCUGUGCAUGUAUGCCUUCGCUCUUAAUUUCUUCUAGAGAAGCAGCUUGGAGGAUGGGGCAAACCCGGCAUCCCCACAGGGGACCAGCUAGUGCUGAUCGACACCAGUUCACAUCCAACCAACGAAAAAGGGAAAAAUGAUGUAAAAAAGAAGAAGAAAAGAAGAGAUCCGAGAAAGUUUUUAGUAUUCCAUGGUGUUAUAAUUGGCUACCCUUUUGUACAAGUGGUUGAAUGCGCUCAGAUCAGAGAGUUGCUCAGGCCAACAAGCCAAUGUUGUUUCUUGUUUGCAGCCUUUUAGGCAGAGCACGCAUAUGCAUCUCGAUUUUGCAAAUUGCAGUGCUCGAUCGCCAGCCACGCGUUUAAUGGCUAAUUCCCCCCUCACCUAACCAUUCCCGUGCUGCAUAACUCCAAAUGCCAAGAGCCCAAGAGCAAGAAGAAACUGUGCCUGUACGUACUCCUAGCACUGUACUGUAGGGUAAAUAGUAUAAUGUCAUCUUGCAUUGAAAACCACCUCCUGGCCCGGUGUGUUUGGUACCAGGUGAUGGGUGAUAAAUUGGUUUUGUAUUGACCAAUCCGUAAUCAAAUCCUCUAUCUACAAUGAGACUUGAUUCAAACUUGCUAGUAUUCUUCGCAAAGUCUCGCUGAAGUGUCUUACGUUUGUGAUUUACUGAUUCCUAGAGCUCAACCUUAAUUCUGCGUGCUUACAACAAGCAAAACCAUGCGUACUUGACAGCGAUACACGUGACCGAUGUAGUCUACGUAGUACUUACGUACGUACACUCGCUCACGAGCUGGGCCAUGUACUACAAACUAGGUACAACAACUGAUUGGUUUGUCGGCAACUCGACAUCCCCCGAUCGAACCAACCGACGCGCGCGGCUGCUGGAAAAAACGGACCAGAGGCGUGCGUGGGAUACCUGCGAUUUGGGCGGCGUCACCCACACAAACGACAGCGCCUCGUGCCAAACAGGAUGAGAUUAUAUUGGCCCCUCUCAUCCAUGGGCAACUCGCAGUAAUUUAACUACACGUUGGAACACGUACGAUGAUCUAGAUCGAGUUCACUUCUCACCGGUGUGCAUGCAAAAAAAGGUUUGGAAAAUUGGUUCACGAAUUGAGCAAAAGGAUUGGUUACCGAGCGUGGCAGAGCGGAAGGUGGUGGAGUUGUCGACGACGUUGCGGCUGGCCUUGAUGACGGUCUUCCACGUGCCGUCGCCGACGAACAUGAUGUUGGUCUUCUCGCUCCCGACCUCCACGUUCUCGAAGUACCCGCCGGCCUUGAUGUAUAUCACGUACCGCGUCUCGCUGUUGUUCGGCGCCGCCGCCACCGCCUCGCUCACCGUCGUGAACUUCCCGCUCCCGUCCUUCGCCACCACCACGUCCGCCGCCACCUGCUGCUGCAGCCGCCUCCGGUCCGACGCCGACACCCACGACGGGAACCCGCGUCGCACGCGGCCGUACCCUUCCAAUGGCUCCUCCUCCGCCCCGCGCCGCCGCUGGGUCGGGAGGCGCCGCACCAUGGCGAGCGAGUUGGAGACCAGGUGGGCGACGUGGUAGAUGCGGCCCUGGAUGAACGGCCGGACGCGCCCGUCCUCCGAGGCGGACGGCCCGGCGAACCCGUCGAGGCAGGUGUACUGGUUCGUCAUCGCCGCCGACAGCACGGUCUGCACGCCGGCGGCGGACUCCUCGGCGGUGCUGUUCCCGGCGGAGAGCUCCGCGGCCGCCGUGCCCAGCAGGUCCAGCGUGUGCCCGAACAGCUCGAGGCAGUCGGACAGCGCGAGGCGGUCGCGCGUGCGCAGCUGCCGCGGCCGCUGGAGGUAGGACGUGCAGUUGGACGACGACGCGCGCACCGCCGACGCGGCGCGCCCCACGACCUCGGAGAUCACGUCCCGGAGCGGCUUCCGCGCGAGGUUCGGGAUGGUGGACAGCGUCGACACGCAGACGUCCCGGUGGAGCGUCCCGGCGCAAUGCCGGUCCACGGCGGCCGCGUGCUCGGCAUCGGCAUUCCUCUCGCCGCCGUCUGCUGCAAGAAGCACGCGCGCGCGGUGGCCGUCGUCGUCAGCGACGGCGAAUGCCUUGUGCGCGGUGGAGAGCAAGCUGAGCAGCAGCAGCAGCAGCAGAAGGGAGAGGAAGGUGGUGG